UUUUAAAUUUAAAUCCAAGUUAGUCAACAAAUAGUGUAAUAAUGACGUCAGCAAUAGAAUUUAGUAAUUCAUCACUUACAUAUAACACCCAGUGUUCAUGCCAACAAGUACAU